UAGGGUAGGGUAGGGUUAGUUUAGGAGUAGGGUUAGGGUUAGGUUAGGAGUAGGGUUAGGAGUACUACUCCUAACCCAGCCCUACUCCUAACCCUACUCCUAACCCUACUCCUAACCCUACUCCAAACCUAACCAUAACCCUACCCUUAAUACUACUCCUGACCCUAACCC